CCUCCAACUUCCUCUCCCUCACGCUCGGCGAACAGCGUGAACGGCGCGAUAAUGUGGGGGAUUGGGGGCCGGUCAUGGGAAAACGGCACAAAUGAUAGGGGCUCGGGGGUCUUGGCUGACUCGGUCUCGCGCAGGGGUCGUGGGUGGCUCAGUCUCGCAGAGGGCUCAUGGGUGGUGGUGUAGGUACCAGCGCGACAAUGUGGCUGGCCUCUUUGUCCUCUCGUUCAUUUCUUCAGACAUAUCCGAGUUCCACAGUUCCAAAGGUCCUCAAUCUCCACAUCUUCGACUUCUACAGUUCCAAAGCUCCCAAUGUAGAAGAGGAAGAAGAACUUGAAAUGCUUCUGGAAAAUUAUCUCCAAAGGAUUGCUAUCAUCUCCCUUGUCCCUGGCAAAACAGAAAGAGAAGUCUAAAUGCUAUUUAUUUGUUAACACAAACAAUAAAUAACCAUGAAAGUAUAUCAAUUUAUGAAACAAGAAAUGUAUAUAUAUUAUGUAGACGUACUUGUAAGUCGAUAUUCGAAUCCACCACAGCUGGGCACUUUCCCCCAAGUUCUAGAAUCACUGGUGUAUGUUGUCAUUAAUAAAUAAGAAAUAUUUUUGAUCAAAAUUAUUAAAAAAAAAACCUGAUGGUCAAACUCCAUGUAAUCAUUGAUGCAUAAAUAUUAGUAUAAACUAAUUUACUCUUUAUAUAUAUAUACUGGCUGACGUGUAUAUAAUAUUUUAUCCCACUUUUGUUGGAGCAAUGCAGUUGUUUCUGGAAUAGCCCCCUCAACAACUCUUAUAGCAGAGUUAUCUAAGUAUUGGCCAAACAAUUUAACAAGCAAAGAGGAUGUUGCUGGAGCAAUUUCUGAUGGCUUUAAAACCACCGCAUUGCCAGCCCAAAUAGCUCUAAUGACUAGAUCAAGAGAUAACACUGCCAAAUUAAAAUUAAUUAUUACUCAUCAUCCUCAUCUCUGUGUUCCCUUUGUCUCAUAUCUAUAAAAUCCAUAGAUAUAUAAUGGCUAAUUGUUAUUGAUCCUACAAGAUAAUUAUAUUAAAAAUUUAUAUAUGUGUGUGCGAUGCGAAUGUGUUUGAGUGUCUACUGUCUAGUAAAGUAUCAGCUCUUAUUGUUUUAGACUUUGAAUUUGGUGUUAGAAUAUUACUUUAUUCUAAAAUUUUAGUCAAAUUUUAUCAUCUUUCUUUAGUAGUGGGGAUGAUUAAUGACGAUGGUAUGAAUGUUUUGUUUUGGAUAUUAUUCAGCUGGUAGGAGUGAAACAAGAAGGGAAAGAUGCAGUGCUCUUUCUGAGCUUUAUGGUCAGCGGCUUUUCAGUCAAGGUGUAAAAAAAAAUAUUAAUUUGUUUAAAAAUCUUUGCAGCAUGAUGGUACAAGUUAGGACAUAUAAUAAAUGAGUUCAACAUCCACUUGGUGAUAACAACGCCGUGCCAAGAGGAGAUCUUGCCCAUUAACUCGUGGAGCCCUUAGAGACCUUACACGUUAAAGGGAUAUUCGUAUUUGGGUUUGUUGAUUGACAAAGAGGGAGUACGCAUGGAGAAGACGAAGGAGAGAGUGAAAAGAAAAAAAAUGUUUCUUUGGCAAUCUUGGCUUGGGGUUGUAGUUUAAGGUUCAUGUUAUAGUGACAUUCUGAUUUUAAUUAUUUGUUUUAUUUGACAGUGCAAUAUUCUCACAUGUAAGGAGUAGAAGUUUUAGUCUACUUGAUUAGUUGUUGGAAGAUGUUGAAGUUUUACCCUUUACUUGUAGUUGCUAAGACAACCCUGCAUCAUAAUCCACCUGUUUAGUUUAUAGGUUUUGGAGAUUGACAAAUUAUAAUUUGUUUAUGGUAUGUAUGAAAUCUAUGUCUUCA